rnacentral:lncRNA from 10 species
GGUAUCAGGAUGAUGCUGGCCUCAUAGAAUGAGCUGGGGAGGGGCCUUUCCUCCUCAAUUUUUUGGAAUAGUUUCAGUAGGAAUGGGACCAGCUCUUCUUUGUUCAUCUGAUAGAAUUCAGCUGUGGAUCCUUCUUGUCCUGCGCUUUAUUUUGUUGAGAGUUGCCCAAGGAAGUCAACAGGAGAGCCAGGUAUUUUCUCUUUAUCCAUCAACUUUGAGCCUGGAAAAGGCACUGUGGCCCCUGGUCAUAGUUGCCUUUGUGACAUCACGGCCAUCUCUUUCUCCACCUUUCCUGCCCCUGCCAAGAUCAGGAAACAGCAACCAGAGGGAGAUGAUCACCUGAACCACUGCUCCAAACCAUGGGCAGUAAAUGCUGUGUAAGACUCAGGCACACAAACUCCCCCAGGGGUGGGAGUUGUCCCAUGGCCCAGGAAAGCACCAGGCCACUUCUUAGGACCCAGGCAAAGAAUGGGGAACUGGGCCUGUGGGGACUUUGCAGUCAGGCUGGUCCUCACCCAUGCUCCCCCACACCCAUAUUCCGAUUGCAGAAAGGUGGUCCAGAUGAAGAUGCAGUAGAAAGACAGAGGCGGCAGAAGGUAGGUGGGGCCCAGGAGGGUGAGAGAAUUGCAGAUCAUUGACUCU